CACCAGAGGGUGCAAUAAGACUUGCUAACUCUUUAACCCGGAACUAACA
rnacentral:tRNA from 1 species